CUUGGUUGGCAUUUUUCAAACUGUAAUGAAGACACUUUUUAUAGCCCUGUUCAGAAUACAGAAGGAGACCUACUCUUCUCUGAUCACAAUAUAAAUGCUACCGACAGAGGACAUGUGGAAAGAUCUGACAUGGAUUAAAUAUAAACAAAAAUGAAGCAAGAAACAAAACUGGUCUUUCAAUGAAAAGCUGAAGAUGCUGAAGAAGAAAUGCAAAAUAAUUUCACAAGAAAACCAAAAUCAGACCAGGAUCACUUGGUAUCCUAUCCUGGAAAAAUUCAGGAUGACUUAGAAAAAAUGAGUCAUGGAUUGCCUUAAUCCAUGGACAGUUACUGAGAAGAUACUUCAAUCAUCGAAACAUAACAAAAUCUGUUUUAAUUGUAGUUUUGUAUUUUUUUAAUGACAGUUUUUAAAAAAGAGACUCAUAAAAGCUGUUUGGCUAUCUGUACUUGUUUAUAGUAGAGCUGCAUGUGAAAUUAAAUCCAAGUUGAGGACAGACCAAAGAUUCAUCAAGGAAACACCCAAAACUUGCUUACGUAUUGACUACUGUCAGUGUUCAAAAUGCAAAAAGAAAACUCAUUAACUUAAAUCAAACAUAUAAAAUAUUUAAUAAUAAACAAGAUUUUGUCCUUCAAGAUUGAUUUUUUUUGUGUUUCAGAGCACUGGGAAUUGCUGAAGGACUUGAUACUGUCAAAAAUAAUAAUGACUUCCUCUUUUGUCAAUAGUAGCAGACCUUUGAUGUUGCUGGAUUAAUUCUUAUAUACUACCAAU
rnacentral:lncRNA from 1 species